ACGCUGGCGGCAGGCCUAACACAUGCAAGUCGAGCGGUAGCACAGGAGAGCUUGCUCUCUGGGUGACGAGCGGCGGACGGGUGAGUAAUGUCUGGGAAACUGCCUGAUGGAGGGGGAUAACCACUGGAAACGGUAGCUAAUACCGCAUGACCUCGCAAGAGCAAAGUGGGGGACCUUCGGGCCUCACGCCAUCGGAUGUGCCCAGAUGGGAUUAGCUAGUAGGUGGGGUAAUGGCUCACCUAGGCGACGAUCCCUAGCUGGUCUGAGAGGAUGACCAGCCACACUGGAACUGAGACACGGUCCAGACUCCUACGGGAGGCAGCAGUGGGGAAUAUUGCACAAUGGGCGCAAGCCUGAUGCAGCCAUGCCGCGUGUGUGAAGAAGGCCUUAGGGUUGUAAAGCACUUUCAGCGAGGAGGAAGGCGCUGUAGUUAAUAGCUGCAGCGAUUGACGUUACUCGCAGAAGAAGCACCGGCUAACUCCGUGCCAGCAGCCGCGGUAAUACGGAGGGUGCAAGCGUUAAUCGGAAUUACUGGGCGUAAAGCGCACGCAGGCGGUUUGUUAAGUCAGAUGUGAAAUCCCCGAGCUUAACUUGGGAACUGCAUUUGAAACUGGCAAGCUAGAGUCUUGUAGAGGGGGGUAGAAUUCCAGGUGUAGCGGUGAAAUGCGUAGAGAUCUGGAGGAAUACCGGUGGCGAAGGCGGCCCCCUGGACAAAGACUGACGCUCAGGUGCGAAAGCGUGGGGAGCAAAC
rnacentral:rRNA from 1 species